GAUGAACGCUAGCGGGAGGCUUAACACAUGCAAGUCGAGGGGCAGCAUAGGGUAGCAAUACUCUGAUGGCGACCGGCAAACGGGUGAGUAACGCGUAUGCAACCUACCCUGUACAGGGGGAUAACCCGGAGAAAUUCGGACUAAUAUCCCGUAAUAAUAUCCGGAGGCAUCUUUGGAUAUUUAAAGUUUCGACGGUACGGGAUGGGCAUGCGUAACAUUAGCUGGUUGGUAAGGUAACGGCUUACCAAGGCUAUGAUGUUUAGGGGUCCUGAGAGGGUGGUCCCCCACACUGGUACUGAGACACGGACCAGACUCCUACGGGAGGCAGCAGUGAGGAAUAUUGGUCAAUGGGCGCAAGCCUGAACCAGCCAUCCCGCGUGCAGGAAGACGGCCCUAUGGGUUGUAAACUUGCUUUUCCAGGGAGAGAAACUUACGCACGUGUUGCGUGACUGACGGUACCUGGGAAUAAGCAUCGGCUAACUCCGUGCCAGCAGCCGCGGUAAACCGAGAGUA
rnacentral:rRNA from 1 species